ACGCCGUCCCGAGCGGCGUCCGCGGCCCGCCACGGGCCCUGAGCGGGGGUGGUGCCGUGUCGGCGCAGCACCACCCCCCAC
rnacentral:ncRNA from 1 species